UACAGAGGGUGCGAGCGUUGUUCGGAAUUAUUGGGCGUAAAGGGCGCGUAGGCGGUGCCACAAGUCACUUGUGAAAUCCCCGGGCUUAACUCGGGGCCUGCAGGCGAAACUGUGGUGCUGGAGUAUGGGAGAGGUGCGUGGAAUUCCCGGUGUAGCGGUGAAAUGCGUAGGAUAUCGGGAGGAACACCUGUGGCGAAAGCGGCGCACUGGACCAUAACUGACGCUGAAGAACGAAAGCUAGGGGAGCAAACAGG
rnacentral:rRNA from 1 species